rnacentral:rRNA from 1 species
UGGUGGAGUGAUUUGUCUGGUUAAUUCCGUUAACGAACGAGACCUUAGCCUACUAAAUAGUUACCCCGAUCUCGAUUGUGGUAAUCUUCUUAGAGGGACUUUGUGCAAAACACAAGGAAGUUUGAGGCAAUAACA